CCUUUAAGUCAGGAGACUUGAAGGAUGUUUGUAUAGAAAGAGCAUCUAUUUAGAUGCACCUUUAGUUUAAAAGAAAACAAACUAAAACAAAUAGUUUUUCAGAAGGGGAUACAUUUGACUCCUCCUUUUGGUGAGUAUCUGCUUGCCUUUGUCUCUCUGUGCUCAGAACUUUUGACUGAAUGCAACUGUUUAGCUAGGGAAUGCUUAGCCCAUCUUAAAAGCUACUUUUUUUUACUUGAAAUUGUAUUGCGGACAAGUGUUCACAAUGUAGCAAAGCCUCUGGAGACCUCUGUCUAGCUAGGAAGCCAGCUUAGUUCUUUUGAUGAAAUAUUAUGUCUUUUCUGUUGCCACUUUGCUCUGCCAGCACCUCCCUAGGGUCCUCCAAGGGCUCCACCUUCCCCCCUCCCCUCUCCUUCUUGCAUAAUUAACUGGUGACUUUGGGCAUUUCCUCUAAAAUUUGGAAAGGUUUUUAGGCCCGAACUUAUUACAUUGCACAUUUUAGGUGAGUUAAGUUCAAUGUGUUCACCUUAACCUUUUACUAUUUUCUUGUCUUCUCGGAGCUGCCCUAAAGGCUCU
rnacentral:lncRNA from 1 species